GCUUGGGUGGCUUAGUAGGUUGAGCUUCUGACUUUGGCUCAGGUGAUUUCACCAUUCAUGGGUUUGUGCCCCAUAUCCAGCU
rnacentral:tRNA from 1 species